UUAUAAAACAGCCAGCGAACUGUUAGUCCGUGUUUACUAAAUUACCCGUCCCUCCCACACCUCAGUGUGCUGUGACUGUGACCCGGCAGCUGACUGACUAAGGACCAUGAAGAGCUCAGAGAUCCUGACCGGACUGAUCAUAGUCGGGCUCUUCACCGUCAUGUGCUCUGGACAAACUUCCCAAGAACUCACAGAUGACACACAGCUGUCCCAGCAGGAAACGGAGAACGAAUUGGUUGAGGCUAUGACAGCACUUUUGGGAAGAUAUCAGCCUCAUGUACCAUCUUCAGAAAAACGUAGCAUUCCACAGUGUGCUGUGGGGUCCCGCUGCGCCAUGAGACUGGGUUCACGCUUUGGGAAAUUGUGUGAAUGUGUCAGAGGAUCUAACUGUAACUCAUUUCUCUUAAAAUGCAUCUGAGUCAUUAAAAAAAGACGCAAAUCCAUAAUCCUUUCCUGAAGCUGUAAAGGCAUGCACCUGAAAGAGGCAGUGGGUGGAAAUCUGUUUUCUGAAUCACUUGUGCAAGGUCUAUGAUAAGCAUUCAUCAAAAUGCAGCAUGACAAACAAUAGCAAAGCAUGGUUUAAUGCGUUUAUUCAU